UGGGGAAUUUUGGACAAUGGGCGAAAGCCUGAUCCAGCAAUGCCGCGUGUGUGAAGAAGGCCUUCGGGUUGUAAAGCACUUUUGUCCGGAAAGAAAUCCUUGGCUCUAAUACAGUCGGGGGAUGACGGUACCGGAAGAAUAAGCACCGGCUAACUACGUGCCAGCAGCCGCGGUAAUACGUAGGGUGCAAGCGUUAAUCGGAAUUACUGGGCGUAAAGCGUGCGCAGGCGGUUUGCUAAGACCGAUGUGAAAUCCCCGGGCUCAACCUGGGAACUGCAUUGGUGACUGGCAGGCUAGAGUAUGGCAGAGGGGGUAGAAUUCCACGUGUAGCAGUGAAAUGCGUAGAGAUGUGGAGGAAUACCGAUGGCGAAGGCAGCCCCCUGGGCCAAUACUGACGCUCAUGCACGAAAGCGUGGGGAGCAAACAGGAUUAGAUACCCUGGUAGUCCACGCCCUAAACGAUGUCAACUAGUUGUUGGGGAUUCAUUUCCUUAGUAACGUAGCUAACGCGUGAAGUUGACCGCCUGGGGAGUACGGUCGCAAGAUUAAAACUCAAAUGAAUUGAC
rnacentral:rRNA from 1 species